GGAUUUACCAUUCUGGUGUGCAAGGUUUGAAAUAUUUUCUUUCUUUUUUUCUGUUUUUUUCAAUUUGGUGUUUCUGUUCCGAUUCCAUUUUUGUUUCGUUCGUUUUUUAGUUUUUUUUGUUUGUUUGUUAUUAUGAUGAUUUUCUUCUCUCAGAUCUGCUUCUGAAACCAGCUUGUUUCAGGGGUUGGCUUCAGGGAAACCGAAAGGAAAUUCAUUGUUUAUUUUGAGGAUUAUUAAUUGCUAUUUGCCUUAUUUUCUUUGUAUUUCAUGGCUGAGUGCAGAAAAUUUUUGAGACUGAUGGAAACGUAAUCUAUUCACACAUCACACAGUAUAUAUAUUUUUUAUCUAUAAAAAGGGGAAAAUUCGCUGUGGUCAAUGAUAGUUUGCUAAUUUAUUUUGUUUAAUAAUUAUUGAUCCUCUGCUUAGCUUUGGUUGCUGAGAUUGGUGGCAAAAGAAUUGAAAUUAGGCCAACGAGUGUUACUAUUAAAUAUUAUUUUAAAGCAAUUUGUUUUGUACCUGUAAAAUAUAAUGUUACCAUCCAGCUCAAAUAAAUUAGUGGGUUUUAAAUUGUUAAGCAGGUUCACAAACUUCACGCGAAUUGUUUUGAUUGGCUUUCUUAUCCCCUAUUUCGCGUGUAGCUUCUUCUAAAUUAAUCAUAAGUUGGGUUUUUUAAGCUGAGAUGUUUUCUGUGAUUUUGUGCUUCUGUAGUUCAUGGUGUGGAAUAUGGUUU
rnacentral:misc_RNA from 1 species